CCUACGGGGGGCAGCAGUGAGGAAUAUUGGUCAAUGGUCGGGAGACUGAACCAGCCAAGCCGCGUGAGGGAGGAAGGUACAGAGUAUCGUAAACCUCUUUUGCCAGGGAACAAAGGCGGGGACGUGUCCCCGGAUGAGUGUACCUGAAGAAAAAGCAUCGGCUAACUCCGUGCCAGCAGCCGCGGUAAUACGGAGGAUGCGAGCGUUAUCCGGUUUUAUGGGGUUUAAAGGGUGCGCAGGCGGUCUGUUAAGUCAGCGGUCAAAGCCCGGGGCUCAACCCCGGCCCGCCGUUGAAACUGGCAGUCUCGAGUUGGAGAGAAGUAUGCGGAAUGCGCGGUGUAGCGGUGAAAUGCAUAGAUAUCGCGCAGAACUCCGAUUGCGAAGGCAGCAUGCCGGCUCCACACUGACGCUGAGGCACGAAAGCGUGGGUAUCGAACAGGAUUAGAUACCCUGGUAGUC
rnacentral:rRNA from 1 species